AGAGUUUGAUCAUGGCUCAGGACGAACGCUGGCGGCGUGCUUAACACAUGCAAGUCUACGAGAAAGAGGUAGCAAUAUCUUUAGUAAAGUGGCGCACGGGUGAGUAACACGUAAGCAAUCUACCUUUAGGUUCGGAAUAACUCCGAGAAAUCGGGGCUAAUACCGGAUGAUGCAGCGGCACCACAUGGUGAUGUUGUUAAAGAUCUUGUAUCGCCUAUAGAUGAGCUUGCGUCUGAUUAGCUAGUUGGUGAGGUAACGGCCCACCAAGGCAACGAUCAGUAGCUGGUCUGAGAGGAUGAUCAGCCACACUGGAACUGAGACACGGUCCAGACUCCUACGGGAGGCAGCAGUGAGGAAUAUUGGGCAAUGCCCGCAAGGGUGACCCAGCAACGCCGCGUGGAGGAUGAAUGUCGUAAGAUUGUAAACUCCUGUUAGAGGGGAAGAAUAACUCCGAUCGCAUCGGAGCUUGACUGUACCCUCAGAGAAAGCCCCGGCUAACUACGUGCCAGCAGCCGCGGUAAUA
rnacentral:rRNA from 1 species